UACGGAGGGCGCGAGCGUUGUCCGGAAUCACUGGGCGUAAAGGGCGCGUAGGCGGCCGGGGCAGUCGCUGGUGAAAGCCCGGGGCUCAACCCCGGGUCGGCCAGCGAUACUCCCCGGCUGGAGUGCCGUAGGGGCAGGCGGAAUUCCGGGUGUAGCGGUGGAAUGCGUAGAGAUCCGGAAGAACACCGGUGGCGAAGGCGGCCUGCUGGGCGGCGACUGACGCUGAGGCGCGACAGCGUGGGGAGCAAACAGG
rnacentral:rRNA from 1 species